rnacentral:rRNA from 1 species
ACAUCGACGACGCGGUUUGGCACCUCGAUGUCGACUCAUCGCAUCCUGGGGCUGAAGUAGGUCCCAAGGGUUCGGCUGUUCGCCGAUUAAAGCGGUACGUGAGUUGGGUUCAGAACGUCGUGAGACAGUUCGGUCCCUAUCUGCUGUAGGCGCAGGAGACUUGAGGGGGGCUGUCCUUAGUACGAGAGGACCGGGAUGGACAGACCUCUAAUGUUCCGGUUGUCAUGCCAGUGGCAAUGCCGGGUAGUUAUGUCUGGAAGGGAUAACCGCUGAAGGCAUCUAAGCGGGAAGCCCACCCCAAGAUUAGGUCUCCCAAUCGCAAGAUUCUAAAGGUCCGUGGUAGACCACCACGUCGAUAGGCUGGAGGUGUAAGCACAGUAAUGUGUUCAGCUUACCAGUACUAAUAGACCGUGUGCCUUGACCUUUAUU